rnacentral:lncRNA from 13 species
GUAUUUGUUGAAUGUAGCCUAGAUAAAUACAGUUAUGUAAACCGUUGAGAGAUCAACACAAUUUGUGAUACAUUUUAGUAGACUAUUGCAUAUAGACCUACUUGUAAAUAGAUCUAGUCUAAUAGCCCUACAGUGGAAUACAUUUGAAUUGGGCCUAUUGACUUGAACACUGGUCUUAAUGGCAUAAUCAUAUCAGUGACAAUGUGAUGCUCAUUACAUUCCCUAUGCAAUUACCACGAGGUAUUCAAAUUACCGUGACAGUCGUGAAAGGAAACUACUGCUGUAACUCCCUCUAUCUGGAUGGCUGUGACUAAUUCCAAUUGGGCAACGUAUAGCCUAUAAAUGACCGUGUGCCAUAUAAAAAAGAUACUUCAGAUCAUCUUUUUGGCUUUGAAUACGUGGAAAUUAGAGCAUGCUGGGUGAGUAUUGAGCUCCCGACCAGUGGUGCAUUUCAUUUGUGCGCGUGUUUUCACGUGUCAACAGUGGGCGCUUCACUGCCUCUGUACAACGGGUCUGGAGCAAGGGGAUGCGCAGAAUGUAAAUCUCAGCUCAGAGGUCUCUCUGUCUCACUCUCCGUCCAGACUGGCAGCAUUUCCUGGGGUGUCUUCGUUGUUGAAAGACUAGACCAAAGCACCUGUGAUUGAGUACAGUUGGCAUCCCGACGUCGGAGCUGGAGCCCUGUGACUCCUGAGCUAAUUGCGUGGGUGCUUCGGGGAUUACAACGAGGAGCAUCUCCUCCAAGCCAAGAGGAGAGACGGACUUGCGGGGCUCUUUACGAGAAGUGUGGUGCUGCGAUUCCGUGGACCAGCGUUUAUCCGCAAACUCUCGUUGGGAUCCUGAAUAAGAGAGCCACGGCUCUUAUGAAAAUGUUUAUUCUUUAGGAAAAUACAUAUAGGCAAUCGAUAAAUACCACUGAUGUAUGUCAUUUGGACAGUGGAAUCAAUUAAAUAGACUAGCCUACUAUUUUCUCUGGUCGUCCAAUUCCUUGAAGAGGAAAAACAGCAUUCUGUUUAAUAACUCGAUCAAAGAUUCACGUAUUCAGGGGAGAACAUUCCAUUCACAAGCAAUUGGAUGAGAGUCUUA